CAGAGGUCUCUAGCGUUGUUCGGAUUCAUUGGGCGUAAAGGGCGCGUAGGCGGCGCGGUAAGUCGGGUGUGAAAUCUCGGAGCUUAACUCCGAAACUGCAUUCGAUACUGCCGUGCUUGAGGACUGGAGAGGAGACUGGAAUUUACGGUGUAGCGGUGAAAUGCGUAGAUAUCGUAAGGAAGACCAGUGGCGAAGGCGGGUCUCUGGACAGUUCCUGACGCUGAGGCACGAAGGUCAGGGGAGCAAACGGG
rnacentral:rRNA from 1 species